rnacentral:misc_RNA from 1 species
UUCCUUUUCCCUUUGUUCUACAUCAAGUAGAGCCCUCCAAUUGAAUUUCAUAACACUUGAAGGUGCUGUUUGUGAAUGCCUGGUUAUAUAAGCUGUCAAAUAUUCCAAGACAAACAACCUUUCCCACCAUAGUCCGUAGAUAAAAAUACAAAACUCAGCCCUUUAAAAUGUGAGCAUUAUUUAUCCAACUAUAUGCUCCAUAUUACUGCAAAGAAAGUGCAAUUUUAAAGAACUAUGUAUUCCUUUCAACCACUAAAAGUCUUCCAUUUUGAACCAAUAGGUAUCUGCCACGUGUUCAAGUGGCCCAAAGAAAUGAUUUGAGAUGGCCCUAGCCAACUCACAGUGUGAAAACAAACAAAAAUGAAACUCACUACGUAUACAACAUGUGGCACAGAGAUCCAGAGAUAAAGUCUCAUUAUAAUGUCUUCCAAUCAUUAUUAUUCAUCUUUUGAACAACAGCAGACUAAACAAAAGCCCUGAUGUUUAGAGGCCCUUAAGCCUUCCACAACAUAUGCUGGUAGCUUAUCAUCUUAAAGGUUAUGUUAUAUUAAAUUCCUAGCUCCGCAACAUAUUUCCCUCUGACUUUCCUAACAGACACUUGAACUAAUACUUUCUGUGAAUCACUUGAAUCAUUUUACUUUAUAUCUACAUUACGAAAAAAUGAAUUUUCUAGUGUAGCAACCUUCCUAUAUUGCUUAUAGGAGCCUUUAAAACUUAGUUAUAAGUUGUUACUUUGAGCCUGCGCGGUAGAUCAUAUGACUGCUAGGAUCUUAGGAAAGUCAUAGAAGCAGGGUGGAAAAUUUUCAGGAGGCUAUUACCUGUUUAGUUGGAUAUUUCCAUAUUUGUUUUAACAGAUAUUUCUGAUGUCUUUUCCUCCAUGCAAGUCAAUAACUCAAUAUUGUAGAGCAUGAGUUUUCAAAUAGAGUAUGCAUGUUCAGAAACUCCCUGAACAGUGAACAGGACCAAUUUCUGUUGUUUUUAACUUAUUUCCCCCUUUUACCAUUGACUUAUUUGACCCUAAUUUCCAAGGCACUAGAGCCCCAAAAUUAAGUCUUGUCACACAAUCAUUGUAGUUUGGGUCUAAUCUCCGUAUUUUAGGUUGUCACUGUCAAAUUCUUGAUAAAAUGAAGAUUUAUUUGCAUAGGCUUUGCUCUAUCUUGUUUUGUUACUUAAUGGGCAAUGUUGGCAGCACCUAUGCAAUUGGAUUAAGCUCAUUGGCACCAAGUCCUAAUAGGUCAUAGAUAGAUGAUUCUGAAAGUUACAUCAAUCACUCGAACCUGGUUCUGCCUAUUUACAUUGUUUCACAAUGGGAGGAUAGUAAAUAAAUGCAUCAUUUAGUGGCUGGCAUCUUGUAGAUUGUUGUUGAAAUGAGAUAAAGUAGUUUCCUUGUAAAACUUAUCACAUGUUUGAAGCAAAGAAUAUGAAAUAACUUUUUAAACAAGGGAGUUCUCUUAGAACUUCCCCUCCUUUUGCAAUGAUGUCCUUCUAUUGGAUUGAGGCUCUUGUCACUCAAUGGCAUCCAAAUAGUUAGUACAUCCAUAGGAAGGUAAAAGGAUAGGUUCUCAUUGAAAACCUGUAUAAUGUGGCAGAGUUGCACGUUGAUCAUCAAAUUGUACCCUUCACUAUGCAACUUGAGCCUUUGGAAAAUUUUCAUUCAUUCUGAAUUUUUUUCUUUAUCUUUUUCUCCCUUCUUCCUUUCGCAGUUGAAGUGUUUAAUUGAUAUAGCAGCAUGUACCAAAUGAAAGAGAUUGUUCUUUCCUCACAUAGCACCUAAUGUGAAUUUGCAGCAAACCAUCUCAGCAGGUGAUACUAGAUUAUGACUAUACAUUCACGACACCGUAUUGUGGAAGUGAAACAAUUGAGGUAGACUCGAAGAAGGUUCGUCUUGUUCUUCAUCUACUAUUUAGCAAACUUUUUUCUCCCAACUGUGCAGUUGGAACAGAUUAACAGAAUUAGUGGAAUGUCCAAGCAGUAAAGUGAUCUAGGUUUGAGCAUUGUUCAGUUUAAACAGAAAAAUGAAACUGAACCAAUGCUUUUCAGUUAGGUUUGGUUUUGGUUUUUUAAAAUUCUUUGUUGAUUUGGAUCGUUUCAAUUAUUAAUUGAAUCGAACCAUGUAUAUUUAUAUAUUUUUUUAUCUAAAUAUUAUGCAUAAAUAACUGAUGAACUGAACCAAAUUAUUUUGGUUUUUGGCUUGAUUCGUAAUUGCUUUGCCUUAGCACUUCAUGUAAAGGUUAUGCAAUAACUUGGCUAAAAUUAGAGAGUUACACAAGACUCCCUACUUUGCACUUCUUUAUCUCUGGUUCCUUGCCAGGAUAUGGUCAGGCUUUUCUUAAAUGUGAACAGGGCUGAUAUAGAAUUUAGAAUCUGGUGUUUUUGUUAUUGUUGCCUGUAUAGUUUAUUUUUAUUUUAGAAAAUGUUGCUACCACCCUUUGUCUUGUGGUCAGAAUGAAAGUGAGGAUAUCUUGGAGACAAGCUCAAGCAUCUGUUGGGAGGAAUGCAAGGGGCAAAUUGAUGUGGUUUCCCUUGCAUCAAAAGAACCUAUUCUUUUCUAUGAUGAGGUAGCCAACUUAUAUUGGACUAUGAUGAGGUAGUCAUCAUAAAGUUCCAUUUUUAUAUCCUUAGUGUAUAUGCGCCUGCCAUGAUAAGAGUAGUCUUUUUAACACCACAGGUAGUCUUGUAUGAAGAUGAGCUUGCUGAUAAUGGAGAGUCGCUUUUAACUGUUAAAGUGGUAAAUGCUAAUUUUUAAUGGAUGUAAUGCUAGAUACACUUCCUUAUAUCUGUGUAUUGAGGACAUUCACUUUUUUAUUUUGCAGAGAGUCAUGCCUAGUUGAUGGUUUCUUCUUUUGCGGUUCUGGCUUAGAGUUGACGGAGUCUUGAUGAGAUUAAGGGACACUCGCAUGCAUUGCACGUUUGGAGACAGCACUAACCCUGUCAUCCUUCGAGGGAGCUGCUGGAGAGAAGUAUCUCUGCUGUAAGCACUUUGUGGACACACUUGCAUUGUUGCACACAAUUCGUUUAAUAGGCUAGCAUGUUCCUGUCCAUGCUUGCAUGCAUAAGUGUGUAUACGAUGGAUGAGCUGUCUUCUUACCUUUCCUGUGUCCUACUCUGCUGAGGAUUUCUUCUGCUGAUUUUCUUGCUUUUAGGAUUCAAAACCAAAAAGAUGCUUGUUUCGCUACUUUUGGCACUUUCAUGGAAUUAUUACAUGGUUAGUUGUAUAAAGAUAUGGUCGAAUGAUCUAGAUUUGUACUGUUUUUGGUCAAUUUCAGUAAAUUGGCUAAAGUUGUUACCAACAUCAUAUGAUUCAGCUAAAAUUGAUAAAAUUUAAAGGAUUCUCUAAAAUUGAAAAUAUUUACAGAGUUUGGAAAUUUUAUGGCCAUUUGGCCUAAAGAUCUUAGUACUUAAAAUAGCUUCUAAAAUGGAUACAAUUGUGUCUAAAGGGGGAAGUGGAAGGGGA